UACGUAGGGUGCAAGCGUUGUCCGGAAUUAUUGGGCGUAAAGAGCUCGUAGGCGGUUUGUCGCGUCUGCUGUGAAAACUCGGGGCUUAACCCCGGGCCUGCAGUGGGUACGGGCAGACUAGAGUGCGGUAGGGGAGACUGGAAUUCCUGGUGUAGCGGUGAAAUGCGCAGAUAUCAGGAGGAACACCGGUGGCGAAGGCGGAGACCUGGGCCGAUACUGACGCUGAGGUGCGAAAGCGUGGGGAGCAAACAGG
rnacentral:rRNA from 1 species